AUGGUUUUUAGGAUUUCCUUGAGGUUCCUCCUUUGGAAUUUCCUAACAUGGGGUCCUUGGUCCCGAUACUAUACAUUUUUACUCAGAAGUAAGCCCCAGAGAAAUAAAUGGGCUCCCCCUUCUAUGCUUUGCUGAAGGGGCUGGGAUGAAGAGGGGAAAAGAGAACCCACAUUCUUGCCUAGGAUCCCUUCUGGCCCUGAUUCCUAUGUUUGUUUACUUGGAAGUAAGCUUCAGUGGACUUCCUAGUAAUUGAUUCCAAGCUUUGCUGGGGGCCUCUGCUUCCCUCCUUUGGUGUGGGUGAGAGAAAAGGGGCAGAGGGAGAAAACAAAGCUCCAGGAAAGGAAAGGGAGGGAAAGUAAUGGUUGUUUAAUUAUACAAGUGCCAGAGUGCUCAUAGUCUGACAGGCACCUAUGUUCAGAUCCAGGAAGCCACUUGCUAGAAAAUGCCAGGGUUUGCCCCUCCCAACUUUGGCUUCAGAAUUCUCAGUGGGCAGACUGAGUUAUUUAUUUAUUUAUUAAAAGAUUGAAUAUACCGCCUAAUCCACAGACUCAGGGCGGAGUUAUGCUCUUUGUUAACUUUCCCUUAGUUAUUUUCCCUGUUAUGGGGAUUUCGAACAACAAUUAUUUGUUGUUAAAAAAAACCCCAAUUACUCAAAAAUCACUAGAUUGAUGUUUUUCAAACCAUCAAAAGGCACCUGUCCAGUAUGGAUCUGCAUUUUGAGGGAAUGAUUUUUGGCUAAAAAUGUUUUUAAAAACUAAAAAUAUAGAUCAUCUAUAUAAUUUAUAUCUAUUUAACAUCCCUGGCACCCCCCAACCAGAACUGAACCAGCCGGGGCGGGGUGCGUGGGGUGGUGGCUCAACCUAGAAGCAAACCGGUCCCGGUCCAGUUUGAAGUUGAACCCUCAAACCAAACCAAUUUGAACUCAAGCUGGCUCGAGGUCGAGCCGGUUUGAACAUCCCUAGUUAAUAGGUCUGUCUUGGUCAGUUAGAACUAUUCAGUUGUUGUUGUUGUUGAAGGCUAAUGCCUGUUUGGGUAUGUUGUUCUGUCUCUCUCAGUAUGUGAUGUUUUAGUUUCUUAAUAAAUCUUUGUUUUUUUGAAAUCCACCUUAUGUCUCCAGAUAAUCUCUUGAACUGAACUUUUUGUUUUACCACCAGAGCUGUGUGAGGGUUUUAAUCUUUCUUCUCACACCCCUCAACAUUGUCUGCUUCUGUAGCUCUGACUAGAAUGUAGGAGCGAGAGUCUUGUCCUGCUGCAGGAUUCUAGUCCUGCUGCAUAUCUCCAUCUAAAAUAGUUGCUUCUUGUAGGACUCACAGAAGGUAGGCUCUAUCACAUGUGGGGGGCAAAAAUAAAUGUUGAUUGGUGCCUUCCAUUCAUGACUGAUGCAGGGGUAUAGUCAACAAACGUUAUGAUAGAUGGGUGAAAGUGCUCCUCCACAAGUAAGUGUGUGUGUGUGUGUGUGUGUGUGUGUGUGCGCGCGCACAGGGGGUGGGGGUUUAUAUGCUCUGGAGUGUCUGGGGGUAAGAGGAUGGCUUUGUUGGACUGUUUCGGGCACAAUAGGGGCUUGGACUGGACCUGAUGUUUACUCUCAAACAAUCCCCAUUGAUUUUAAUAGGAUUUACUUGUAAGCAAAUAUGGCUAGGAUUGCAGCAACUUGAUUUCACCAACUUGAGUUUCACUAAAAUCAAUAGCCUCAAUAUGAAGGUUAUUCAUACUUAAAUAAAAUUAAGUUAAUUUGAAGUUUGUGACACAAUUGGAAUCAAUGGGACCACUUGUAACUCACUCAAGUCCCACUGUAAUGAAUAGAACUUGGGUGCAGCUAACCUUUCCCAGAUUGGGCCUGGUAGGAAUAAGCUUAGGGUACAUUUAGAAAUGGGAAUGCCAUCCUGUUUUCAGUUAUUUUGUAGCUUCCUUCAUAAAUGCAUUUGAUUUCAACUUUUCUAUGUCAGUAAUUGGAGCAGUUAAAGUUUGGGCAACAUCAUUUAAGUCUGACAGUAGAAGGGGUGUUUUAUUGGGGUAAUGGCUUUUUAAGUGUACAAUGAGAAUUUAAUAUUACUUUUAGGAACUCCAUUAUCAUAGUUUUGCUCUUUGUAUUACCUGUUUAGAAAAACAAAACAAAACAAAACACCAUAGAAGGCAGAGGCUGACAGAAUGGUGUCUUGCAGUUGUCACCGUGGUACCAGGUAACUAGAGAAAAGAAUAAGGACUUUAUGUCAUGAACCUAGCAUUUCUGCAUUUGGAACACAUCUGAAUGAAAAGUUGCCAGCUUCUGCACCAGCCUCUGCUCGGAUGCCUUUAAUAGCAGUUUGAGCUACAGCAAUUAGCAGGUAAUAGCCUUUAGCUCUUCCUCAUGAAAAACUUAUCUUACUGAUUUCUGCAUGUCAACCCUUUAUUAAAGGCACAUGAGCAGGUGUAAAACUAGGAAAGACUCCUGCCUGAAACCUUGGAGAAGUUGAUGCCAGUCAGUGUAGUAGACAAUACUGAGCUAGAUUAACCAAUGCUCUGACUCGGUAUAAGGCAGCUUUCUGCGUAACUGUUGCUCUAGGUGUAGUUCCUCAACUUGUUGCUAUGAAUAACUGCCUUGCUUCUUUUCUACCCCUAGACUGCCAUCUUUGAGAACCUAACCAUCUGCUUGACCUUAUCUACCAGCCUCUAUAUGUCUCUACCAGGUCCCUGUUUGCUGCACUGGACCGUGACUUCUGUCUGGCCUGACUCCAUUAUCUGCCUGAGGUCCUUGGAUGCCUGUCAGUCUACUUUGCAACCUGACAUGAAUCCUGCUACUUAUCUCUGAAUCUGGCUAAGGUGUAACAAGAUGAUUUAUUUCUGAAGCAACAGACCAACAUGGCUACCUUUCUGCUAAUUAAUCAUGUUAGUUAUCUAUACGGCCAGAAAGAUGAUCACAAGGUUUUUCUACUAAAAUAUCAGUCCUUAGAUUUCUAGUUCCCCUUCUCACGUUCCCUUAAAUUUAACUCAUAGGCAUUUUAUUAUUUUUUUAAAAAACAGUGUAUUUUCAGAUUUAUUUAUGUUUUUAUUUUUCAGAUUCCCCUUUCAGGGUAGUUCUCAGCUGAUUUCAAUAAGAUGGAUGGUAUCUAUCUUAUUGAAAUGAAAUUAUGCAAGGUUAAGGCACUAUAUACAUUUGGGCUUCAUAAUACAUGUACUGCUGACAGUAGAAAGGGCAGGGCCAGGGACUGGGAGAGAUCAUGCAUCAUCCUCUUCUUAACAUUCAACACUUCUCAUGUACCAAAGCCAUCCAUGGCACAACAGCCAGGAACAACAUUUGUGCCUCCUCCCUAGUUCCUGCCCAGCAAGGGCGGAUCCUUUACCAUCUCAUGAAGACAGCCGCAUUUUCCCUCUAGCCAUUACAGCACUUCACAGUGCAGACAAGAUAAUCACUCGGCAAACAACUAAGCACAUCAACAUGCAAAAGAGAGAAAUGGAUGCGAAAUCUCAUUAAAUUCCAUACGUGUCAAAGGAUCUUGCAGGCCAAGACGGAGCCUGCUUCUCAUGUCAUCGUGCUGGCAAACGGCUGUUGCUUUGACAGCUUCUGACACAGAUACCAGAAAUACUGAUUCUGUUGCUUACCACCCAAGGAGACAGAGCGAGGGUUGCUUAAGCAGACUGUGGUCGCAUUACUGAGCUCUGGUUCUGGUCUAUUACUUGACUAAAACAGCUUUUCUAGUGAUUUCCAACCCUUAAAAGACACAGAAAACCUUUAUUUGAUCAAUAGAUGGAAGAAAAUUGGGAGGAGGGAGUGGACAAGUCGGAGCUGCAUCAGCUUGCUGGGCAACCCUGUUGUUUCUCAUAGUCUGUAUGAUUAACACAAGUGAUGCAAGGAAAAGAAGAUACCAACACCUGACAAAAUAUGGAAUUCAGUACUAAUAAAGCAAAGUUCAUCUUAAGUGUUGUCAAAGAUUGAGCCAUUAAGUGUGCCUUGUGGAACCUUCUACACUGAGAUACUUGAUAGGUGUGUUCCAUCAUGUCUCCUCUAUGGAAAGGGCUAUUUCAAUGGGAAGAAAUGCGGCAACAAAUAGACUGUCCCUUGCUGAAGCAAGAGGAGGAAUUAAUAUUGCAAAGCCAGGCUUCUGCCGCUUGAAGAUGUUAAAGAAAAGGCAGCACAUCCCUAUAAUGCUGUGCUUUCACCAGCCCCCUCCCCUUGUCACUUCUUGAGCUGCUUCAUUAUUUCUUACCAAUUUGUGUUUUGCAUAAAAUAACCAUGUAAGCUUCAGUGGAGAAAUAUAAUGUUCCUAGCUGGUGGCAGCAGCAACAGCUUAUCAGUACAGUGACAUGGGUGCAGCUGCAUCAUACAUUCUAGAAAAAUGCAAAAUUCAGCUCAAAAUAUAUGAUUAGUAAUCUGGAAGAUAUAUAUUUGUUUUCUGUUUAAAGCUGACUGAAACGGAAUACAGCCCCCUAAAAUGAUGUCCUUUGCAUUCCCAGUUCUUCUUGUUGCAUGCAUCCAACAUUAAUUGCCAACUAGGUGCACUAGCAGGAGAGAUGAGCAAUCAAUAAGAUGGCCUGAUAGCUGCUGCACAAAGCUUGUGAUGAGAUAUUAUUUUAACCCCAUUGUCUUACCUGAGGAGAAGAAGAAGAAGAAGAGGAAUGAUAAAUUACAGCAUCAGGAAUACCAUUAUCCAUAGAUCUGCAGAUCAGGUUUUCUUUCUGCAGCUGUUCAGGUUCCUCAGGAUAGCAGCUUUCCAAAGUCUCCCAUUUUUCACUUGUCUCACUGACAAAAAUGAUCCACCCCCAAAACCAAAAAGGAAACCUUUGCUGUAAUCUUCUGCCCUGGUGUCUUCCUCCCGAGAAUCACUCUGUGUUCCCCAGCAUCCUUAAGAAAAAUUGCUUGCGGGGGAUUUGAAAAAGAGAGGUGGGGGGGGGAGAAUGGUAAAUAAAUAAUUAAAUAAAAACCAAGGUGGCACAUUAAGGGAGAGCCCCAUCUACUGGCAAAAAUAAUGAAUGUUUUCCUGGUGUUUUGUUUUUACACCCCUGUGGCAGGAGCCGCAUUAUUAGUCACAUAUAAUCAUUCUAUGGGCUAAAAAUACACUGGCCUUGAAGAUGGAAACUGCAAACAUUUCAUCUGAUUACAACAUUUCAAAGGGGAGGGGAGGUAUAAAAUGAGGUGAGCCCAUUUGGGGAGGCUGGGAUAAUGCUACAUACAAUCACAUGUCGAACAAAUUGUGUUGAAGGCUGUACCUGUUGUGUGGCAAAUGAAGCAAGUACUCUCUUGCCUUGCACAUACAACUGCUCCAAAGAUUGUUCGUGAGCUACACUACAGGGCACCUUACCAUAAAUACUGUUUCUCGACCUUUUAAGGAACAAGUACCUUGUAGCUUCUGAAAAACUAAAAAGUAUCUCAAUUUCCAGUGAAUGUCAUGUUUACAGGGAAUAUGUAAAAUAUACUGAAAGAAUGGCUGUGUGCAUAUGGCCAUGAUAUGUAUUACAGAUGUCUGAUUUAGUGUUUGUAGGGUUGCCACCUUUUACACCAGGGGCACACAAUUCAAUUAUGUGUGCUAACUGAGGUGCCAUUUAAAGUGAUGAUUCCCUUAUAUUUAGCAACUAACUUAAUUCACCCCCAGCAUAGCGCCCCAACAGUGACUUGCUGGUUUCUUUCUUGUGUUUCUUUUUUUGGCUGUGAGCCCUUUAGGGACUGGGAACCAUCUUAUUUAUGUAUUAUUUAUUUUUUCUAUGUAAACUACUUUGAGAACUUUUGUUGAUAAACGGUAUAUACAUAUCCAUAGUCACAGUAGUAUCUGAACUAGAGGUGAUGUUGGCCAAAGCUAGGAGGGCUGAAUCCAGGGCCACACAAAGUGUAGCAUGCCACAUUAUUGCAGGGAAAGAUAAAGUGCCACACACUGCAUGGCAUGCCCUUUUUUGCCUUCACUUUGAGAAGAGAAAGGGGCAAGAUAGGCAGGAAAAGAGGGCAAGAGAGAAUGGGACAGGGAGACACUAAUUCUAGGUAGUACCCAGUAGCAUCAAAGGCAAAAGCACUCAUCUCUUCAUCCUUCUUCCCGGGCUUCUUUCCCCUCUCCUUCUCAUCCAUAACCCCUGCUUGUGUCUCAUGAACCCCUAGGGAUACAUGAACAUGAAUCAUAUGUUGAGGAACUAUGCCAUAGGCCACCCUAAAUUAAGAGGUUUUAUACUGUUUUGGGAAGAUGUUCAGACUUUGAAAAUCACCAGAUUGAGAUGGAACUCAACUACUGUAGAGCAGUUACAGAGAAUGUCAAUAGGAUGCUCCUAUUAUAUGUGGCCCAUAUGAGGAAGCUAAAGUCAAGGAGACUGGUAUUAUAGGUUGUGAUGGAAUAUAGAGCACAAUCUUAGAGAGCAUGUAAGAUUAUUUUAAGUGCAGAGCUGUGACUCCUUAACUGUGUGGUUCUAAGAGCUCUUGUGAGCACUAUAGGAAGGUUCCUUGUGAUAAACCAACAUAAAUUAAAAGAUUGUUAAGCCACUUCAGAAAGUUGUUACAUCUUUGGGGUGAGGAAAUUUCAUUUCAGCUAUCCAAAGUGUCAGUCUGUGUGCCCCUAUAAUACAAGCUCUGUACAAAGAAAACAACAUCCAAAGAAGUAAAUGUUAUAAGUUGUCUUCUUUUAUGUUCCAUCACUAGCUAUAAUAUUCACCCUUUGAUUUUGUCUUCCUUCCAUAGAUCAUUUAACACACUAGCAAGUCCUUUAGACCUUUUCACUUUCCUUUUAACAUUCAGAGUCUUAUUUAUGUAUUAUUUUUCUAUGUAAACUGCUUUGAGAACGCUGGUUGAAGAGCAGUAUAUAAAUAUGUGUAGUAGUAGUAGUAAUAGUAGAAGCAGGGUGCAUAAAAUGUUUAGCAAGAUGACUAUUCCCAUCUUUUCAGUGCAUGCUUAUAGAUGAAAUGGGUAUCAAAAUAUUUAGUAAGUGUCGGUGCAUACACGUACUAUUUGGGAUUAAUUCAUAUAACAUUAAAAGGUGUGAUUUUGUGAA